CGUGUAGGCGGCCAGGUAGGUCCGUUGUGAAAACUCGAGGCUCAACCUCGAGACGUCGGCGGAAACCCUCUGGCUAGAGUCCGGAAGAGGAGAGUGGAAUUCCUGGUGUAGCGGUGGAAUGCGCAGAUAUCAGGAAGAACACCCGUGGCGAAGGCGGCUCUCUGGGACGGUACUGACGCUGAGACGCGAAAGCGUGGGGAGCAAACA
rnacentral:rRNA from 1 species